GGUGUGCGGGAAUCUGGCGGCUGAGACGCGCUUGCGCUCAGGGUGCGUAAGGGACCCGGGCGGACAAGUGCCGGGAUCAACAAACAUGGAUGUUGCGUACGUCUGUGAGUGGGAGAAGCGGCCGAAGAGCAAUUAUUGCCCGUCUGUAUCCUUAGUGUGCGCCUGGUCCUGCAGAAAUCUGAUUGCUUUCAGCACGGACUUGAAGAACGAGGAGGAGCAAGUUUUGUCUUCAGUUACUCUGUGCCCCGAGGUCACUGCUCCGGUGCUCCUCCCUCCGAGUCUGCUCCCUGGAGACAAGGCCGCGAAUCCCCGAGAUCUUACUUAUAUGAUUCACAUUUUGGACACUGAGCAUCCCUGGGAUGUUUAUUCCAUCAACUCAGGACACCAUGAAGUGAUUACAUCUCUGGAAUGGGACCAGUCUGGUUCCCGCCUAUUAUCUGCUGAUGCUGAUGGUCGAGUGAAAUGCUGGAGUAUGACUGAUCAUCUGGUAAACAGCUGGAAUAACAUUGUCGGGAGUUCAGUGGAUGGGGACCCCAUUGUAGCCUUGUCAUGGCUACACAAUGGUGUCAAGUUGGCCUUGCAUGUAGAAAAGUCUGGAGCAUCCAAUUUUGGUGAGAAGUUUUCUCGGGUGAAAUUCUGCCCUUCCUUGACUCUGUUUGGAGGGAAGCCGAUGGAAGGUUGGAUUGCUGUAACCAUCAGUGGUCUAGUGACUGUGUCAUUACUGAAACCCAGUGGACAGGUCCUCACUGCUACAGAGAGUUUAUCACGGUUGAGAAGCAGAGUUGCCCUGGCAGACAUAGCAUUCACUGGAGGUGGGAACAUCGUGGUGACCACAUCGGAUGGCAGCAGCUCCUCUCCUGUUCAAUUUUAUAAAGUCUGCGUGAGUGUUGUAAAUGAGAAAUGCAAAAUUGACACUGAGCUGCUUCCAUCACUGUUCAUGCGCUGUACAACAGACACUGCUCGGAAGGAGAAGUAUCCAGCUGUCACUCAUCUGAAGUUUUUAACAAGAGAGACAUCUGAACAGGUGUUGUUGUGUGCUUCCAGCCUGACUGGCAGUAUUGUAGAAUGCUGGUCAUUACGAAAGGAAGGGUUACCAGUGAAUAAUAUCUUUCAGCCAAUUUCUCCUGUGGGUGACAAACAGCCAAGCAUUCUGAAGUGGAGGAUUCUAUCUGCAACCAAUGAUAUGGAUCGUGUAACAGCUGUGGGUUUACCCAAACUUCCAAUUUCACUGACCAGCACUGACCUAAAGGUGGCAACAGACACCAAAUUCUUCCCAGGGCUUGGCCUUGCAUUAGCAUUCCACGAUGGAACUAUUCACAUUGUUCACAGGCUUUCACUGCAAACUAUGGGAGUUUUCUACAGCACCCCUUCCCAGCGACCAACAGAUGACCAAACCAUUAAACGGCAGCGUACAACUGCAUCUUCUGUGCACUUCAAAGCAUUACAGUUGUCCUGGACUUCAUUGGCACUGGUUGGAAUAGACAACCAUGGAAAGUUGAGUAUGCUGAGGAUCUCCCCUUCAAUGGGUCACACAUUAGAUAUGAACACAUCGCUGCGUCACCUGCUUUUCCUUCUGGAGUACUGCAUGGUGACUGGUUAUGAUUGGUGGGACAUCCUCUUGCACGUGCAGCCUAACAUGGUGCAAAACCUAGUGGAGAAAUUACAUGAGGAAUAUACACGUCAGAAUCAGGCUUUGCAACAGGUUCUGUCUACUCGAAUUGUUGCCAUGAAAGCAUCUUUGUGUAAGCUGUCAACAAACACAUUGGCAAGAGCCUGUGAUUUCCAUGCAAAGCUGCUGUUGAUUGCAAUUGGUUCCACUCUUAAAUCACUCCUUCGACCACAUCUGCUCAACACGCCAGACAAGAGCCCUGGAGAGCGACUAACUGAGAUCUGCUGUAAAAACACUGACACUGAUAUUGAUAAAGUUAUGAUAAAUCUGAAAACUGAAGAGUUUGUCCUGGAUGCAUGGGUGUUACAGUCACUGCAACAGCUCAUACAAUGGGUUGGAGACUUUGUGCUAUACCUCCUGGCUAGUUUGCCUAAUCAGGUUUCUCCAGUUCGCCCAGGAUUUAGUUUUCUCAGAGAUGGUACCUCACUUGGCAUGCUCAGAGAGCUAAUGGUUGUGAUCCGAAUAUGGGGUCUCCUUAAACCUGGCUGUCUGCCAAUAUACACUGCUACAUCAGACACUCAAGAUAGCAUGUCCCUACUCUUCCGACUACUCACGAAAUUAUGGCUUUGCUGUAGAGAUGAAAGCCAUAUGACUGAACCUGAUGACAAUCUGGUUGAUGAAUGUUGUCUGCUUCCCAGCCAACUGCUUGUUCCCAGCAUGGACUGGCUACCAGUGAACGAUGGAAUUAUUGGCAAGUUACAGAGCAAACAGCUGCUAAAGCUGCAGUUUGGAAAGCCAGUCAGUGUACCCAGUCACUUUGCAACUUCUCAGCUUGAUAUUUUUGCAAGAUCACCAGGAUAUCAGAAAAUGGACAACUUAAGGAGACUUAAUUUAGGAGUAUGCCCAACAGAAGAAACCAAAUCCUGUACCAGAUGUGGGUGCAACACCAUGCUGAAAUCACCAAACAAGUCAACUGCAGUUAAACAGUGGGAACAGCGGUGGAUUAAGAACUGUCUGUGUGGGGGGCUUUGGCGCAAAGUCCCCAUUAGUCUAUCCUAAAUAGUCUUUGUUACAAGGACAAAUAAAGAUGAAAUAUGCAUUUGGAGAUAGCUGUUGGAAAAUUAUCGAAGGUCAAGGAUUCAGGAUUUGUUUUCCUAUCUCACUAAAUUAGUUUUCUGUGUAAAACCGUGGCUCCAAAUUCUUCAAAGUCUUGGCGGGAUACACACAUCUGGUGGAAAUUAGAAAGACUAGACAAAAUGGCUGCUCCUUUCCAUGAAAGAUAGUUCCUGUUGGGAGGUGCAAGAAUCUUCACCUGUUGAAUGAGGGAAAAAAAACUUCAGAUGAAAAGAAUAAAAAUCCCUUUA